CGCAAGAGGACGGUGGUUGAACCAACUUGCAAGUAGCCUACCAAUAGGAACGUUACUUUUCAAUGUAUUAAGUAUUUCAAUGUGGAGUCAAUUGGGGGUACUACCCUGUUUCAUGAAGCCAUUAGAAUACUUUUGUUGACUGAGAGGAGAACCAGUCAAGCAGGUAGCCAAUCAGCUAAGGAGUUGGACCUGUGGCCGAAAGGUGACCGGUUCAAAUCCCUGGUUGGGCGUUGGAAACAAAAUGGGAGGAAUAAUGGAAACUGGAGGGGUGCUGUGUUCACAUCCUCAAAACAUUCCCAUACCAUUGGGUCCUUAACCCAACAACAUGCUCUCCAUCCAGAGGUGCUGCUUGAACCUGUGAUUGUAAUUGUAUGUGUGAGGUCUGCUAUUUGGGGGGGGGUUUAGAAUUGAGCAGGAUACACCUUUUUGUUGUUCACUGUAACUAAUGGACGUUGUAUUGUAUUGUAUUGUAUUGUAUUGUAUUGUAUUGUAAAGAAGUCAGCCAGAGUUGAUGUGGGCCUUCAUUCAAACAAAGAGAUGCCU